rnacentral:snRNA from 1 species
AUCACCCGCGCUAUGCCGCGGU